UGAAGGGCAAGAAGGACUUCUUGAGGCGUCUUCGGUGCAGAAAGAUGAUUUCAUUAAAGCUCGGGGACGGGACCUGUGGGCAGAAAGAGCUGCCCUGGGGUCAUGAGGAGCGGGCCGAUCAUAGACUUUCAGGUUGGGAGGGGGUCAGCGAUAGCCUCAGUCUCUAGGACUUUGGAAGCAAGGUUUCCAGGAUCUUGCGGGGCUGGCUGUUAGGCAAAGGUCAUUUUUUUUUUUUCUGUCUAGUAAAACCCUACUCAUGAGACCCUUCAGAUCUAUAUUGGAGGACCUUGUGCUUGGGGAUGAUUGCCAACAUGUACCUUGUGGGGCAGAGAUAAAGUCUCCAGGGGAAUUUUUGUAUGUUACAUAGACUGCCUUUCGCCCUUAGCAAAGAAUUAACAUCGAGGCAGCUGAGCUCCUAGAGGAAGUCACUCUGCCUGUUUCAAGGACUUGUUAGUGUGCUGUAGGUAGUAAGGAAAUUUAAGUUUUCUUCUGCCUUUGUUUCCCACGUCAUAACCCACCCGGAGUUGGGAAGCUAACCCACUCUGGGAGAGAUAACUUGUAAGCCGUUAGCUGCUGACACUUCGCAGGGGUCCCAGUGUGAGUGGGCAGGGACGUCACUCCUGUGGCUCCCGGGGCUCCUGAAGAGGGUGGGGUCCCUGCACAGGAUGAAAGUAUCUCUGAAGAUCAGUAGCUUUGGGUUUAGAAAAUUCUGGCUCCGGAGGGGGCGGGUAAUUGAUCUGGCUUGUUCUUUUGUUCUUCUUGGUUGAGAUCCCAAUGUGGAUCCUCCGUGUCCGGACCACCAGGGCUUGGUCCUCGCUGGGCCAGGGGUCGCCUGCAGAGCCCAGGGGUCGCCUGCGGAGCCCCAGCCCCGUCUCGUCUCCACCCAUGUAAGCCGCACACGCUGCUGGAGGUGGCCUGGGGGCUUCGAGGUUCCUGCAGAGCCCUGCUGGCAGCCACCAGCCUCCGCCCCUCUGGGGGGUUCCAGUUCCCGCAGCUCUUUAGAAAGGACUGGAAGGAGGGGGUGGAGAGACUCUGAGCCUUGAAAUCCGAUCUGUGGUUGUUUUUCCUCUAAAACCGAAUGGAUCCCCGCCCAGCAUCUGCCCUGGGCGCCCUUCCAGUCCCGCAGUGACCCGGGAGGAGCGGCUGCGGGGUGGGGCUGGGUGCGCACCUCCAGGACCUGGUCUGGAGCCAGCCCUGGCCUCGUGACCUUCCCCCCUGGCCCCCACCGGCUCCUGUCAUGCAGCCAUGUGAGCCCGGCCACGGCCAUGGCUGAGCCCCUGUCUUCGGUUUCCCAGUUCACUUCCCGUGGAUUCCCACUGGGCUGAGCACACAGGGCGGCUCUGAUAAAUGCGGCUGACAGGGCACGGGGCGGGGUGGGGAGGCUGUUUUAAACCCAGCGUUAUGAGGCGAGUGUCGGAAUCUGCAUCCGGAUCCCGAAUUUCACUGAUGCCUGCUAAGGAGCCCGGGUGUGCACCGCCAUCCGCCUGAUCCCUGGCCCCGUUGCCACGGGUCACAUCCCUUGGAACAAAGACACAAGGCCCAGGCAACCACCGUUCUACCUUCUGUUUCUAGAAAUCUACUUCAGAGACCUCACUCGUAUGAGCGGAAUCCACUGUGUUUGCCUUUUUGUGGCAGGCUUCUAUACCGGAGCACGAUGUCCUCGUGUUUCUCCCCGGUUCCCACACACGUAACAACACGUGACAAGACAGGACUGUCUUCCUUUCGAGGCCGGAGGAAGAUUCCGUUGUGUGUAGAUAGUACACUGUGGCUGUCAAUCCACUGAUGGACACGUGGCUUGUUUCUACCUCUUGGCUACUGUGGAUAAUGCUGCUCUGAAUAUGGGUGUGCGGAUACCUCUCUGAGAUCACGCUCCAGUUCUUUUGGAUGUUGUCACUGUGUCCCUGCCUGCUGAAGGUGGAUGGUGGGCCCCCAGAGGAUGGGAGCGAUCACCAUCACCCGUG